rnacentral:rRNA from 1 species
UACGGGGGGGGGCAAGCGUUGUUCGGAAUUACUGGGCGUAAAGGGUGCGUAGGCGGUCCGCUAAGUUGGAUGUGAAAACUCUGGGCUUAACCCAGAGCCUGCAUUCAAAACUGACGGGCUAGAGUUCUGGAGGGGGUAGCGGAAUUCCUGGUGUAGCGGUGAAAUGCGUAGAUAUCAGGAGGAACACCGGUGGCGAAGGCGGGUCUCUGGGCCGAUACUGACGCUGAGGAGCGAAAGCGUGGGGAGCGAACAGG